GAUGAACGCUAGCUACAGGCUUAACACAUGCAAGUCGAGGGGUAACAAGAGAAAAGCUUGCUUUUCUUGUUGACGACCGGCGCACGGGUGAGUAACGCGUAUCCAACCUGCCCAUAACUAGGGAAUAACCUUGCGAAAGUAAGACUAAUACCCUAUAAUUUCCUUUGACGGCAUCUGACGAGGAAUAAGGAUUUAUCGGUUAUGGAUGGGGAUGCGUCUGAUUAGCUUGUUGGCGGGGUAACGGCCCACCAAGGCAACGAUCAGUAGGGGUUCUGAGAGGAAGGUCCCCCACAUUGGAACUGAGACACGGUCCAAACUCCUACGGGAGGCAGCAGUGAGGAAUAUUGGUCAAUGGGCGGAAGCCUGAACCAGCCAAGUAGCGUGCAGGAUGACGGCCCUAUGGGUUGUAAACUGCUUUUAUACAGGAAUAAAGUUAGCCACGUGUGGUUAUUUGUAGGUACUGUAUGAAUAAGGACCGGCUAAUUCCGUGCCAGCAGCCGCCGUAA
rnacentral:rRNA from 1 species